GGCCCAGCAUUAACCCCAGGUGUGCCAGGAUAUGGAGGCGAGAGUGGGGGGAGAGACUGAUCCCUGGAGAAAUUGCAACCUAGAGGAGGUUGAGGAUGCGCCCUGGAAGGUGAGAAUGGACUUGAAGCUCUGGGAUAGCGUCGACUCCCCAGAGGCCAGUGACCCGAGGAGGUGCUGGAGGUGCCUUUAGACUUCAGCUGAAUCUUGUUGUUCCAAAUUCUCCCCCUUCUCUCCGCCUCUCAUUUACCCAUUAUAUACGAAGUCAUGCAAAACACCUUUCUACGAGGGGAAGGAUGUGAUUUUCAUAUUCUGACCACCUGGUGGCAGCAGCAACAAUGAUUCAUCAGCCGGAUUUAGAAGAGGAACUGAUCUCUCACGUCUCUGGUCCAAGAGUUAGGGAGAUUUAGGUGUCUUCAAAUACCGGCAUGCAUAUGCCAUGCACAUGUAGCACCACGUCACACACAUGGUGUGUGAUGUCACAGUGUGACGUGGCAUGCUGUGUCACGUGAUGACAUGCAAUGCUAUGCCGCAGCUGUGUGAUUCUGUUGUACGUUGGCAUGUUUGUGUCAUGUCAUGCAUAUAUCAAGCCAUGUAUGUCACACCGCCACACCAUGUCAUUCAUUUGGCAGGCAUGUAUCAUGUUACAUUUAUCAUGGCAUGUGUGUGAUAUGACAUCACAUGACCUGACACAGGCAUGAUGUGACAUCGCAUGCUUCUUCUUACCCUUUUGUAGCCCUGGGCUCAAUAAAUGA